rnacentral:rRNA from 1 species
CCUGAACGCUGGCGGCGUGGCUAAGACAUGCAAGUCGCACGGUGUAGCAAUACACAGUGGCGAACGGGUGAGUAAUGAAUCGCUAAUGUACCCUGGACUCUGGGAUAGCUGCCCGAAAGGGCAGGUAAUACCAGAUGAGACCACGAUCAGGCAUCUGAUUGUGCUCAAAGGUCCGCCGGUCUGGGAGCAGGCGAUUUCGUAUCAGCUUGUUGGUGAGGUAACGGCUCACCAAGGCGACGACGCGUAGCCGGACUGAGAGGUUGGCCGGCCACAUUGGGACUGAGACACUG